rnacentral:rRNA from 1 species
UAGAGUUUGAAUCCCUGCUCAGAGUGAACGCUGGCGGCAGGCCUAACACAUGCAAGUCGAACGGCAGCACAGCAGUAGCAAUACUGUGGGUGGCGAGUGGCGGACGGGUGAGGAAUGCAUCGGAAUCUGCCUAUUUGUGGGGGAUAACGUAGGGAAACUUACGCUAAUACCGCAUACGACCUACGGGUGAAAGUGGGGGACCGCAAGGCCUCACGCAGAUAGAUGAGCCGAUGCCGGAUUAGCUAGUUGGCGGGGUAAGGGCCCACCAAGGCGACGAUCCGUAGCUGGUCUGAGAGGAUGAUCAGCCACACUGGAACUGAGACACGGUCCAGACUCCUACGGGAGGCAGCAGUGGGGAAUAUUGGACAAUGGGCGCAAGCCUGAUCCAGCAAUGCCGCGUGGGUGAAGAAGGCCUUCGGGUUGUAAAGCCCUUUUGUACGGGAAGAAAAGCUUCGGGUUAAUAACCCGGGGUCAUGACGUACCGAAGAAAAGCA